rnacentral:lncRNA from 1 species
GUUAUUUGACUGGAGUGAGGUCUCAUGUCUGCUUAUGCGGUGGCUCGCUGCUCAGAACAGGUAACGAGACCCUUAAUCGCUGGGUUGAAGUUUCUAAUCAAGAAGAUGCUCAUCUAUGUAUUCAACAAAGCAGCUUCCCUUGCUUCUGAAAUGCUUCCAAACAACAUCUCAUAUUUCCUGAAGAAGAUAAUGCCUGGACAAGCAGCACAAGUCAUUCAGGAGGAAGAGGGUAAUCUGGAAGAGUUUCCUGACCUACUCUGCUGCUGUGAUUAAACAACCACCAGGAAAUUUUGAUGACACUGUUCUCCUGAGCUCCUCCCUUUCCUCGGGGAAGAAAAGCAUUGAAACUACAAAAAUAAAGUGUUAUUUGGCUGGAGUGAGGUCUCAUGUCUGCUUAUGCGGUGGCUCGCUGCUCAGAACAGGAUGGAGUCUUGCUCUGCCGCCCAGACUGGAGUGCAAUGGCGCAAUCUCGGCUCACUGCAACAUUUGCCUCCCAGGAACCAUUGGAGAUACUCAUUACUCUUUGAAGGCUUACAGUGGAAUGAAUUCAAAUACGACUUAUUUGAGGAAUUGAAGUUGACUUUAUGGAGCUGAUAAGAAUCUUCUUGGAGAAAAAAAGACUGGGUAUAUUUUCAAUAUGCUUUCCUUUUAAGGUCCCUCACCUGUGGAAAGUAAAGAAUGUCACUUUCUGACAGGCUCAGGAACCUCAAGUUAUGUAGGGAUCUCAAGAAGAUGGGGGAAUUCACCCAGUUCAUACAGGUGAAAUUGCUGUUGCAAAGAUUAUGAAUAUGAGAGAAGUCCAGCAUGGCUGACUUCAUCUCGUGUCUGGCCUCAGGCUGGCUGCCCUUGCUCACUCUUGGGCAUAGGCCAAGCUAGCCAUGGGAGGAAUUUAGUUUAUAGUUUAACUUUGAAGCACGGAUGAUAAUAGUCUCUCCCUAAAAUGAACCCCUUCCUUG